GUACGGGGGGGCAAGCGUUGUUCGGAAUUACUGGGCGUAAAGGGUGCGUAGGCGGCUUUCUAAAUUGGAUGUGAAAGACUCUGGGCUCAACCCAGAGCCUGCAUCCAAAACUGGAGUGCUAGGGGUUCAGGAGGGGAAAGCGGAAUUCCUGGUGUAGCGGUGAAAUGCGUAGAUAUCAGGAGGAACACCGGUGGCGAAGGCGGCUUUCGUGGACAGAUGACCGACGUGGAGGCAACG
rnacentral:rRNA from 1 species